AAGAUUUCAGUGAUCGUAAGAGAUACAAGAAAAUUGCAAGCAGACAACAUUAAUUUCGAGAAGAGAUGGUAACAAGUGCAGUGGGUGAUGUUUAAUGAGUGAAGAGGAAAUUUUCGAUUGAUGAUUAGAGUAUUCCUUGAAAUGUGAGUGUGGUAUUUUCCCGAGAAAGAUCAACGUGAAGAAUUGAAAAGAAAAUCAAUAAUUGUUUUGGAAAUUAUCUUCGACGAGCGGCUAUCACCUUUGAACAGUGAAUUUACAGGUGGAUUGAUGCUACAUAGCGGAUGCUGUAGUGAAUGUGUGCAUGAAGAAGACUAAUUGGACGUGUAAUAAACUAUGAAAAUUCUCAGUUUAAUUUAUCGUUAGAUGAUUUCGUCAAGUGGCCCCAAGAUCAACUUGUUUCUUUGUCUGUUUUGCUCCCGACUUGAUGAGUGCGUAUUCAAGCGAAGAGCGAUAAGUGAAUGAAAAAAGAAAACUUUGACAGACCGAAGAAAAAAGUGAAACUCUGUGACUGAAGUGAUAUAUGCUAGACAAGGUGAAUCCGUAAACCGUUGUAUACUGUUGAAACAGUUUGGGAAGUAAUCAACAACGCUACUGCAAACUUAAAACAGAACGGUGAAGCUAGUGUUUGGUUAAAUCCGGAUAAUUUGAUUGGAAAAAAAAUCUGAGAAAUUGGCGCCCGGAGCAAGUUCGUCAACUGCCGAUGCGUUGAAAUCUCUCGUGGAGUUCCCAUAUUUUAGCUCAUCUGACGGCUCGUCUAGAACGAACAUAGUGAACGGUUGCCUGUGAAUAUCGAUAGAGUGUAGAAUCGAUCAAAGCGAGAAAAGCAAAACAACGGACAACUAAUUAAGAUGCAGUCAUCAUGGGUCCAAUCAGUUUAGAGAAAUGUUCGCCAAUAUGCAAUUAAAUUAACAAAUUAUAAAAGAGCACUCUUUAAAUGGAACCCAACUCUCGAGGCUGCUGG